rnacentral:misc_RNA from 1 species
UAUGCAUCAGUGCCCUUGGUUUAUAUAACAUAAUCCACUGGAAUCCACAUGUCUAUCAAGCUCUUUCCCCAUAUUACAUGUUUAAGUUCUUGAAGAAAACAAGGAAAGACGGGUGGAUGUCUUUGGGUGGAAUAUUGUUGUGCAUAACAGGUUCAGAGGCAAUGUUUGCUGAUCUUGGUCAUUUCUCUUAUGCUGCAAUUCAGAUUGCCUUCACAUUUAUGGUUUAUCCAGCACUUAUAUUGGCAUAUAUGGGGCAAGCUGCAUAUCUGUCACGACAUCACGGCAACAGUAAUCAUAUUGGUUUUUAUAUUUCAGUUCCAGAAAAACUGAGGUUGCCAGUGCUAAUAAUAGCAAUUCUUGCUUCUGUGGUUGGAAGCCAAGCAAUCAUCAGUGGGACAUUCUCUAUCAUAAACCAGAGCCAGUCUCUUGGCUGCUUCCCAAAGGUGAAAGUUGUUCAUACGUCUGAUGAGAUACACGGCCAGAUAUAUAUCCCUGAGAUAAAUUGGAUUCUCAUGGUCCUCUGCAUUGCUGUGACUAUUGGAUUUAGAGACACAAAACACAUGGGAAAUGCAUCGGGAUUGGCAGUGAUGACAGUAAUGCUAGUGACCACAUGCCUUACUUCCCUGGUUAUCAUCCUCUGUUGGAACAAGUCCCCUAUUUUAGCACUUGCCUUUCUACUUUUCUUUGGCUCUGUUGAACUGCUUUACUUCUCAGCUUCACUCACCAAGUUCACUGAGGGUGCCUGGCUUCCCAUCCUCUUAGCCCUCUUCCUCAUGACCAUUAUGUUUGUUUGGCAUUAUGCCACCAUUAAAAAAUAUGAAUUUGAUCUCCAUAACAAGGUAUCACUAGACUGGCUUUUAGCCUUAGGUCCAAGCUUAGGAAUUGCUAGAGUGCCUGGCAUUGGCAUAGUUUUCACUGAUCUCACCUCUGGCAUCCCUGCUAACUUUUCACGCUUUGUCACUAACCUUCCUGCCUUCCAUCGUAUCCUUGUAUUUGUGUGUGUAAAAUC